rnacentral:lncRNA from 1 species
UGUGAAGGAUGUUCUUCGUGAGAUGAAAGAGCUCAAGCCUGCUUCCCCUGACCUGAGAGAUGAAGCUUCUGAUGGCAGUUCUAGCAAAGUAGAAAGCAGGCCUCAAGAUGAUGAUGGUGAUGAUUUAAGCGAGGAUGAUAUAGGCAGUGACUUGUCACCUGAAGAAAUGAAAGUUGCUCAACUAGCUCAAGGGGUUGUAUCUGAGACACUUGUGACAAUAAAGGAACUUAUACGCACCAUCACUGGUUUGCUUAAGCAAGAAGCUCCAGACGACAAUAGUAAAUUUGCGGAUUCUUUGGAGAAAUUAUUGAAGCUAUGUCAAGGAGUAGGAGUACUGGCUGAUGAAAUUGGAGCCUGUCUUUACCCCCCUCAGGAGAUUGCUGCAAUAAAGGUGGCUUUGGGGAAAAUAUCAAGUAGCAUUAAUGAAGUGCAACAAGAGGUGGAAAGUUUUCAAACAUCUUCCAAGUCCGUGGGUGAGGCCUGCAAUGGGUUGAGGACUUUGUUAAAACAAAUGGAGGCCGAACUGGAUUGCUCCAGCACAACAGACUUGGCAAAUAAAUUGCAGAACGUUGCUGUGAUCAAUAAGGGAGAGAGAUUUGAAACUUCUGUCAACUGAGCCAACUUGUCAAGAGAAAAUUUGUUCUGAAAAGUUGUUUUCUUUUAAUAUUUAUACUUUCUCAUUCGAUGUUUAAAGUCUUACUCAGCAUUCUAGUCGCAUAAUAAAUCAAUUGUGCUAUCUAUCAGUAGAAGAUUUGGUGGCUGAUUUUUUCUGCUUGUCACUAUGACUCAUUGUUUAAUAAUAAUAAUACAUAACGAGCCCACUGAAUUGUUGCAUAGUUAAGUCAGCUUCCAGUAAGCUUAACAACCCAUGCACCUCCUAAGUAAAGACCCAAAAGUGACGUUGCCAGAAGCAUCUGAGGCAGAGGAACCGUUAGUUAACAUGUACCUUGGGUCACGGAAUUGUUAACAUCGACUUCUAUUUUAUUCUCUUUGUUUAAAAGUGUUCAAAAUUUCUUUUUAUUAAUCCAAUAAGAGAUUGCAAAUAUUAAAAAAAAAGAAAAUGGAUAAAUUAAAAAAAUGAAAUAAAUAUUAUUUUAAAAAAUCAAAAUAAAAAAUUUGUUUAUAAAUGUUUAAAAUUCUCUUUUGUUAAUCAAAUAAAAGAUUAUAAAUAUUAAAGGAAAAAAAGAAAAUGGGUUAAGUAAAAAAAGAGUAAAAUAAAUAUUAUUUUCAAAAAAUUAAGAUUAAAAAGUUAAUGUUUUGGAUUUCUUGUUGAUAAGGGAAAAAGAACUAGAGAAGAAGAAUAAGAGAUUGGAUGAGAUCGAGCUAAAGAUAGAAAGAAAAUUGGUUUUAUUUUUUAAAAAAAAUAGUAAUAUUUAUUUUUAAGUUUCUUAAAAAUUUAAAUUUAUUUAUUUGUGAAACGACAUCAUUAGAUACCCGGUAUAUCCUAUAUAAAUCCUAAUAAGGAAUAAAUAAGAAAUAAAAUUAUUAACAAAGCAAAGUAAAAAUAAAAUCAUAGUGGCACCGUUUUUGACCUUUAUCAGGCUACAGCGGCCACUUCAAGGCGUAGUCAUGCUAAGAAACCCCAAAAGCAAAGACACCGAACAAAAGAAAAAAAAAAUUUUGAGGAGAUGGGAAAAGCAGAGAAAACAGAGCUGAAUCGAUCACUCACGGCCCACCUCAAUACCAUCCAGGAAACCUUGCAGGUUUUUUUUCAGUUUUUUUUCUUUUACAUGUUUGCAUGAGUUUAGCUUUUCGUGUUUAUGGGAUUGUUUUUGGUUAUUGUAAGCAGGUGUUGGAUCAAACUGCUUCUUCUUCUUUGGAGAAAGUAACCUGGACUCAAGUUAUCCUGAUUGCUGAACAACUCUCCAAGCAAGCUACUAUUGGUAUCUCUAUUUUCAUUUUCUUUCUUGGAUAGUUAACUUCUUUUUCCUAUUGAGAUAUAUUUUUUUUCUUUUUCCUAUUGAGAUAUGAAAAUUAUUUGGAUUUAUAUGUGAGCUUUGGAUAGCUUCCCUUCUUCUUCUUGUUAGGUGCAAAAACUUUACCUUCAUAUGUGAAUUGAAAUUGCAUUACACCCAAUUUGAUGCCUGAACUAGGUGCUCUUUUAAUGAAAGCAUUUGGGUAAUUCUUUUAUGGAGUCAUUACUAGUGAUUGAAUAGGCUUUAGGUUCAAACUCGAUAUUGAUAUUCUGUUGUUCUUACAUCUUACUAGUCCCACAUGCCAAAAUUGGUAGCCGUAAAGUAUAUAAAAUAAAGCUUAAGAAGAACUCUCAUUUUAUGACAAAAUAGUAGUUUUUUUUCAUCUGUUUAUUAUUUAUUUCGAAGAUUCUGUUUUGUUUCAUACAAAAAAGAAUGGGACACAAACAAAUUUUUAUUGGUUGCUUUCCUUUUCUCCCCAUAAUUCUGUGUGGCAUUUUGGAUUUGUUGAGUUUAAUGAUUGCUUCUUCUGUUUGUUUAACAGCUGGAAUGCUUUGGAAUGGGGAAGCACCUGAAGCUAAACAACUUGAGGAGAACAUGACAUCGUAUUUCAAUGUGCUACAGGGCUUCCUUUUGCUCUCCCAUGGAAGCAAUGUUGGUGCUGGCCCAACUCUCUCUUCAAGCAUCCAUGAAUCGGUGAAGCAAGUUGUUGAUUGCAGUUUUAGGUUAAUGAAGGAAUCUGUCUCAUUAUAUGGUAAAUAGCUUCCCUCUUUCUCUCGGAACUGCAUGUUAAUGCACCCAUGCAACCAUGAAAAUGAUUUGCCAUUCAAGUGUGCUUUAAAAUCUAGGGUGAAGAAGUAAAGGGUUAGUUUAGUUAAGAUAUGUAACCCUUAGUCUGAUGGUUGAUUCCUUAUUUUUAAAAGAACUUUGAGAAUGUAAUGGAACAGUAGUGAUAAUUAGGUAGUGUUUUCUAAAGCAAUGUUAACAUGUGGGACAGAACACUUAAGAAUCACGACUGGAAUGAUCCAAUUAAAUAGUUUCAAGCAAUGCUUUGACGUAUGAGGUAAUUGUUUGUACUUUCUCUUGUAAUGAGUUUGUGUUAUUAAUUGAACUGCGAUGUAUAGUAUCUUAUCAAUAUGUAGUCUGAAUGUCAAUGGGAUUGGUGAUCAUUGUUUGGGGUACUUCAUGCAAGCAUGAAUGUUAUUCCUGUGCAUCUCUUCCCUGUACAUUUGUAUGAAUCAAUAAGUUUCCUGUUAAAAACCACAAUAACAGUCUCCUUUUAUAGUUUUAAUAGUUUAUUAGGGAAAAAUGAUUGAAGUUGCACACAAGAAGGAAAUUAAAUCGAGAACUAAUUAAUGUAUAAUUUCUUCUGCAAUAAUGCAUGCGAACAGGUGGACCUAUUUUAGAUUUGACUAUUCUUUAUGGUCAAAACUGAAUAUGUCCAUCCAAACGAUUGGUUUUGUUCUUCCUUCAAGACACUCAACAACACUGAUGUUCAAUGCUAGCAGGAUCUCACAAUGGGGACAAGAAACUUUUAAUGCCUCGGUUUGUUGGAGCAGUAUGGGAGGCAUGUGAUGCUCUUAAGAAGGUCCCUGCCACAAAUGUGAUAGCAAUUGGGCGGGCAAUGACGCAGGUAGCAGUUUCUGUGAAGGAUGUUCUUCGUGAGAUGAAAGAGCUCAAGCCUGCUUCCCCUGACCUGAGAGAUGAAGCUUCUGAUGGCAGUUCUAGCAAAGUAGAAAGCAGGCCUCAAGAUGAUGAUGGUGAUGAUUUAAGCGAGGAUGAUAUAGGCAGUGACUUGUCACCUGAAGAAAUGAAAGUUGCUCAACUAGCUCAAGGGGUUGUAUCUGAGACACUUGUGACAAUAAAGGAACUUAUACGCACCAUCACUGGUUUGCUUAAGCAAGAAACUGCAGACGACAAUAGUAAAUUUGUGGAUUCUUUGGAGAAAUUAU